UACAGAGGGUGCAAGCGUUACUCGGAAUUACUGGGCGUAAAGGGUUCGUAGGUGGUUUCACAAGUUGGGUGUGAAAUUCCUGGGCUUAACCUGGGGACUGCGCUCAAUACUGUUAGGCUAGAGUACUGUAGAGGAAAGUGGAAUUUCCAGUGUAGCGGUGAAAUGCGUAGAUAUUGGAAGGAACAUCAGUGGCGAAGGCGACACGCUGGGCCGUACCUGACACUGAUGCGCGACAGCAUGGGGAGCAAACAGG
rnacentral:rRNA from 1 species